rnacentral:rRNA from 1 species
AACGAACGCUGGCGGCAGGCCUAACACAUGCAAGUCGAGCGGACCUUUCGGGGUCAGCGGCGGACGGGUGAGUAACGCGUGGGAAUAUGCCCUUCUCUACGGAAUAGUCCUGGGAAACUGGGGGUAAUACCGCAUACGCCCUUUGGGGGAAAGAUUUAUCGGGGAAGGAUUAGCCCGCGUUGGAUUAGGUAGUUGGUGGGGUAAUGGCCUACCAAGCCGACGAUCCAUAGCUGGUUUGAGAGGAUGAUCAGCCACACUGGGACUGAGACACGGCCCAGACUCCUACGGAAGGCAGCAGUGGGGAAUCUUAGACAAUGGGGGCAACCCUGAUCUAGCCAUGCCGCGUGAGUGAUGAAGGCCUUAGGGUUGUAAAGCUCUUUCAGCUGGGAAGAUAAUGACGGUACCAGCAGAAGAAGCCCCGGCUAACUCCGUG